ACGCUUGCUGCAUGCUUUAUACAUGCAAGUCGAACGAAGGCCCUAGCUUGCUAGGUGUCCUUAGUGGCGCACGGGUGAGUAACACGUGGGAACAUACCUUAUAGUACGGAAUAACUGCGGGAAACUGUAGCUAAUACCGUAUAUUCCAGCAAUGGGAAAGAUUUAUCGCUAUAAGAUUGGCCCGCGCAAGAUUAGCUUGUUGGUGAGGUAAAAGCUCACCAAGGCUUCGAUCUUUAGCUGGUUUGAGAGGAUGAUCAGCCACACUGGGACUGAGACACGGCCCAGACUCCUACGGGAGGCAGCAGUAGGGAAUAUUGGACAAUGGGGGCAACCCUGAUCCAGCAAUGCAGCGUGAGUGACGAAGGCCUUAGGGUUGUAAAACUCUUUCAUCGGUGAGGAUAAUGACAGUAGCCGAAGAAGAAGGACCGGCUAAUUCCGUGCCAGCAGCCGCGGUAAUACGGAAGGUCCUAGCGUUGUUCGGAAUUACUGGGCGUAAAGCGCAUGUAGGCGGAACAGAAAGUUAGAAGUGAAAUCCCUGGGCUCAACCUAGGAAUUGCUUUUAAAACUUCUGUUCUGGAAUUCAGGAGAGGAAAAUGGAAUUUCCAGUGUAGAGGUGAAAUUCGUAGAUAUUGGAAGGAACACCAGUGGCGAAGGCGAUUUUCUGGACUGAUAUUGACGCUGAGAUGCGAAGGCAUGGGUAGCAAACGGGAUUAGAUACCCCGGUAGUCCAUGCAGUAAACGAUGGGUGCUAGUCGUCGGACUUUUGUUCGGUGUCGUAGCUAACGCGUUAAGCACCCCGCCUGGGGAGUACG
rnacentral:rRNA from 1 species